rnacentral:rRNA from 1 species
UACGUAGGUGGCGAGCGUUGUCCGGAUUUACUGGGCGUAAAGAGCCCGCAGGCGGCUUAGAAAGUUUUAGGUGAAAUCUCCCGGCUUAACUGGGAGGGUGCCUAGAAAACUACUAGGCUUGAGGCAGGGAGAGGGAUGUGGAAUUCCCGGUGUAGUGGUGAAAUGCGUAGAUAUCGGGAGGAACACCAGUGGCGAAGGCGGCAUCCUGGCCCUGUCCUGACGCUCAGGGGCGAAAGCGUGGGGAGCAAACCGGAUUAGAAACCCUGGUAGUCC